rnacentral:tRNA from 1 species
ACCUGGAUGGCUCAGUUGGUUGAGCAUCUGACUUCGGCUCAGAUCAUGAUCUCCCAGUUUGUGGGUUCAAACCCCACAUCAGGCU